GACGAACGCUGGCGGCGUGCUUAACACAUGCCAGUCGAACGGAAAGGCCCUGCUUUUGUGGGGUGCUCGAGUGGCGAACGGGUGAGUAACACGUGAGUAACCUGCCCUUGACUUUGGGAUAACUUCAGGAAACUGGGGCUAAUACCGGAUAGGAGCUCCUGCUGCAUGGUGGGGGUUGGAAAGUUUCGGCGGUUUGGGAUGGACUCGCGGCUUAUCAGCUUGUUGGUGGGGUAGUGGCUUACCAAGGCUUUGACGGGUAGCCGGCCUGAGAGGGUGACCGGCCACAUUGGGACUGAGAUACGGCCCAGACUCCUACGGGAGGCAGCAGUGGGGAAUAUUGCACAAUGGGCGGAAGCCUGAUGCAGCAACGCCGCGUGCGGGAUGACGGCCUUCGGGUUGUAAACCGCUUUCGCCUGUGACGAAGCGUGAGUGACGGUAAUGGGUAAAGAAGCACCGGCUAACUACGUG
rnacentral:rRNA from 1 species